GAGCGACAUAUACCAAAUGGACAUUUAAACUCAUAAAUCGAUAAUAAACUUAUCCUGCUCCACAUGUGUCACCCGUCGUGUUGCUCAUUUUAUUACAAACCCGGUAAAUAGUCUAACUCGGUAUGUCACAUUCGUGAAAAGAGAACGGGAUUGAAGUUACGACAUAAGGAAAAUAUCUGAUAUAAUUUGUGAAACGGUUAUUCCAUAUUAAGUCUUUCUAUAUCAUCAAAUUAUUGACAAUUCAUGGUAUGUUAGACAGUAAUAAAACUUAUUUUUGGGAUAAG
rnacentral:lncRNA from 1 species